CCCUUAGAUGUUCUGGGCCGCACGCGCGCUACACUGAUGAAUUCAACGAGCUCCUAACCUAGGCCGAAGGGUCCGGGUAAUCUUUGAAAUUUCAUCGUGAUGGGGAUAGAUUAUUGCAAUUAUUAAUCUUCAACGAGGAAUUCCUAGUAAGCGCGAGUCAUCAGCUCGCGUUGAUUACGUCCCUGCCCUCUGUACACACCGCCCGUCGCUCCUACCGACUGAAUGGUCCGGUGAAGCCUCCGGAUUGGCGCGCACCUCGGUGCCGCCGAGAAGUUGGCUAAACCUUACCAUUUAGAGGAAGGUGAAGUCGUAACA
rnacentral:rRNA from 1 species